rnacentral:ncRNA from 1 species
UAAAGGUCAGGAAGUAGUAAUAGAAAAAUUUUUUCAGAGAGAAGCUGGUUGCUGCGAAGCUUUAAAAUUAAUCUAUGAACUUGUCCUGAGUUAAAAACCUAUCGUUUUGCCAUCCGCGUUAAGGAGCAAUUAAGUGUCACAAUAUGUGGAACUUAGGUGGUACCGCGAUAAUUCGUCCUAUGA